rnacentral:sRNA from 16 species
AUGGACGAGGAUGUAUAUGGUAUCUCCAUUCAAAUUGAUCCCACAGCUUUGCACGUAAAAGUGAAGGGAGUGAC